AGUGAACGCUGGCGGUAGGCCUAACACAUGCAAGUCGAACGGCAGCACAGUAAGAGCUUGCUCUUACGGGUGGCGAGUGGCGGACGGGUGAGGAAUACAUCGGAAUCUACUUUUUCGUGGGGGAUAACGUAGGGAAACUUACGCUAAUACCGCAUACGACCUACGGGUGAAAGCAGGGGAUCUUCGGACCUUGCGCGAUUGAAUGAGCCGAUGUCGGAUUAGCUAGUUGGCGGGGUAAAGGCCCACCAAGGCGACGAUCCGUAGCUGGUCUGAGAGGAUGAUCAGCCACACUGGAACUGAGACACGGUCCAGACUCCUACGGGAGGCAGCAGUGGGGAAUAUUGGACAAUGGGCGCAAGCCUGAUCCAGCCAUACCGCGUGGGUGGAGAAGGCCUUCGGGUUGUAAAGCCCUUUUGUUGGGAAAGAAAAACAGCAGGUUAAUACCCCGCUGUUCUGACGGUACCCAAAGAAUAAGCACCGGCUAACUUCGUG
rnacentral:rRNA from 1 species